GGGAUAGCUCAGUUGGUAGAGCAUGAGGCUCUUUUUCUCAGGGUUGUGGGUUUGAGUCCAACUUUAAGUG